CCCACUGUCCAGGCAAGGUCAGGCAGCAGGCCACCAUGUGCGUGCAUGCAUUAGCAUACCUUAUGGGAGCAUGGACAGGUGUCCUCUGUGUCUCAGAGAGGUUACAUGAAGAGGCAUCAGAGUCCUCGUGACAACACAUCAGGACAAGUUGCAUGGAGAUAAAUGUAAGGCAUGUUAAGAUGCACAGACAUACAGGAGGAAGGAGGAAGCCAGGCUGCAGUUUUUCUGGAGGACAAGAGGACCGAGAGGAGAUGCAGGAAGAUGAGAGACAGACAGGACGAAAAAAGUCAAACAAAAAAACAAGAAAACAAAAACAAAAGUGUUUAAAAAGGAAAAAGACAAGUUGUGAUGGUUAAAAAUUUGCAGAAAUUUGAGAAGGUUGCAGUGGAAGUGUGGCGAGCUCAGGAGCUCUGGAGGAGGAGAGGAGGGGAGAGUGGUUCCUGGUGAGAGGGAGCAACAGCUGUUUCUCAUCCACGGGCGGCUAUAUAAGGAGGAGGAAGACCAGAAUACGACGCCGGAUGAUUGCCGUUAACUGGUUCCUGGAUUUUGGAUAACUCGCUCUGCUCCUGGAAGGAAAUCUCUGGUUCGAUCCUGUUUUGUCUCCUCCGCCUGCCGACCUGCUCUCCACCUCGCUCACGCUCCCUCUCCGGAUCAAUAUCCUGGCUCACUCUCCGACUCACCUUCAUCUUGGACCGUUUCCCCAUCUUGGAUAUCACCCCGGCUCACUCCCCACCUAACAACAACUCUUCUUCCGCAUAACGCCGCUUCCUGAUUUGGAUACCCGCUGGACUUCAGUGCCCCCUUAGUUUCCUUUUAAAUAAAUAUCAUUUUACCUUUUACUAUCAAACCUCUCUCCGGUCUCUGAUUCUGCAUGUCUUGGGUUAAACAAAUUCCUCAGAUCAUGACAAGAAUGGAAGCACGAGCAAAUAAGCCCCGUUCUCGCUGCUUUUAAAUCACCGUUGCUAAAUUCCCAAGACAAAAAGAGAAAACCUGCAGAAAUUCCUCAACAACAAUGUAAUUCCUGGGGCUUUGUUGUCUCACUGAGCACGGUAAAAAACGUCACAUUAUGCAUCACACAGCAGAACUUCCUGUCCUUUUAGUGGAUUCAAUUAUCAUAGGUGGACAGAGUAAAACUUUAAAUGUUUUGGCACUAAUCAGUGACAUUUCUCACUUCCAAAGCAGACGUCUGUGCUAAGUCCUUCAAGGGCUGGUCUUGUAUGGAGACACAACAGCUGUGAGGACCAGGCCAUUUUAUCUUCUGGUCAUUUUCCCCCUCCCAGAAUUUACCCUGAAGUUCUGGCAAUGUGGGAACAAUCAGUGCAUCAUGGUGGAGGAGCUAAGCUUCAAGGCAAAGCUCUGGUUUUACUGGUGGGUUCCAUCCCUCACCUAUGGUCUUUGGAUUUGGAGAUUCCAGAUACCAUCUUCCUCCACAAGAUUGCAGGAGAUAGUGAAAAAGUGAGGACUUCCAUCCUCUGAGGGAGUUUGGAGUAGAGCUGCUGCUCUUACACAUAUAGAGAAGUCAACAGAGGUGGGUUAGGUAUCUGAUUUAGGUAGAGGAGUUUUGGAAACAUCCAACUGGGAGGAAACCACGGGGCAGACCUGGAACCCUGGGAUACCCCUCUAAUAUGCCCAAAUGACCCCUCCAUUCAGACUGCCCCACCUUCAGCGGGAAUAUGUUAGGUCAUAAACUACAGCAUAAAGUAACUACAGGCAGGAGAAACACAUUUUCAGCGUUUUGCAGCAUUUCUUGGUGAGGUUACCAGGCUGUCAAUAUUCUUUCACAAUGCCUAUACGAAACUGAGGGCUGCUGGACCACCAGGUGGUCAGUUUCUCUCUCUCUCUCUCUCUCUCACACACACACACACACACACACACACACACACACACACACACACACACACACACACACACACACACCCAGACGUAUGCACUGACCCCUUAUCGACUCUUUCUGCUCCAUAUGUCAUCUGAAGUCCUGCUGGGCAUCUGUGGCCUGCUUCUCUUUAUGCUCUCACCUGAUUGGUUCUAGUGUUCCCUUUAACACCUGAUCGUUAUUAUAAGAUGUAUUUCUUUCUAACUAACUGAUGGUCAGUGCUGCUGUGUUUACGUAUUAACAGCAUAGCCUCAUGGAGUCUCAAUCAUUCUUAACAAAAGCCCUGUGCAGCUGCAGAGGAAAAUAAGCCUUUUGAUUUUCUAAACUCUUCUCCUGACCGGUUCCAAAUUAAUAUUUCGUAAUCUGUUUCUCAUAUAAGAAGAUUAGGGGGAUCUAUUUUUUCCUGAGGAUUUUAAUCUUUGCCUUUACAGGCAGCCACUGACUGGAGCUGCUGGAACAAACCUCUCAUACAAUGGAGACUGCAAUGACACGGAGCAAGGUAAAGGUUUGUAACAAGAAACACAAACGUUUCUUCCUAAUCUGCAGCUGUGAGGAUGAAAGUCCAUAUGAAAUAAAUGCUCAAAUGCCUUAUUUUAGAUGUUUUUUUUAUUUUUUUACAAAUUCUAAAUUUCCUUAAAGUGGUUUCUGGUGCUUUUAGAGUUUCAUGCACACUGUGCACCGAGCGUUGUUUGCAGAAGUCUUUUCCCUGACAAUCAAUGCCAGAUAAAGGUCACUGACUUUUAGAUUCCUUUCUAAUUCAGAGCUUGCUCCACCUGUGAUCAGAUGUUCAGCCAUACUUACAUAAAUGGCUGCAUUUUCAUCCUAAUUAGAUCCUCUUAUGUUAUUUUCAGCAUAAUUUUCCUGUUUUUCCCCUACGUGAAAAUAAUUUUAUCUACAGAAAAAUAAAUAUAAGGAACAGCAGCUUUAUUUGUAUGGCACAUUUCAUUCAAAGGGGCAAUUCAAUGUGCUUUCCAUUAGCAAGAAUAGAGAAAACAUUUAAAUCAAUGUGAUAGCACAAAUUAAGUACACACAAAUGAGAUAAAAAGACAAAGUUAAAGGGUGAGCGGUUACAGUGCAGAAACAUUCAUUCAAAGGCUGAUGAAAACAUGAAGAGUUUAAGUUUUGAUUCAAAAGUUACUAAAGUUGGGGUCCAUGUUAGGUCAGGAAGCUGAUUUCAUCUGUGAGCAGAAUAGUAGCUCAAAGCAGCUUCACCCUGUUUGGUUCUGACCCAGAGUUCUGCCAGCUGACCGCUUCCUAAGGACCUUAGAGUUCUGUUGGGUACAUACACAGGAAGUAGAUCCAACAUGUAUUCUGGCCUCAUGCCAUUGAAUGAUUUAUAAAGCACACUGACAGUGCUCGGUUCUCUUGGUUCUUGUUGGGACUCUAGCAGCAGCACUCGGAAUAAGCAGCCGUUGCUACACAGCUUAUCAGUCAAAAGACCAUUGCAAUAUUCCAGCCUGCUGCAGAUGAACGCAUGAACGAAUUUCUCUAGGUCUUGUCUGGACAUGAGUCUUGCUAAUGGAUGAAGAGAAUGAAACGCUGAUCUAGCUAUAGCAUUAAUGUGACCAGUGAAGCUCAGGUCUGAAUCAAUGAUAUGAUGAUUUCUAACCUGGGUCUUUGUCUUUAUUCCUCUGGAGCCAAUUUAAGCAAUAACCUCCAUCAUAUCCUUCUUAUUUGCCCUGCGAUGGACUGGCUCUCUGUCCAGGGUGUACCCCGCCUGAUUGCCCGUUGACCGCUGGAGAUAGGCACCAGCCCCCCCAAACUCCCUCCCCCGCGCAACCCCGUGUGCACAAAGCGGGUUCAGAAGAUG